GAUGAACGCUAGCGGCAGGCUUGAUACAUGCAAGUCGAGGGACAGCACAGGUAGCAAUACUGGGUGGUAACCGGCAAACGGGUGCGGAACACGUACACAACCUUCCUUUAAGUGGGGAUAGCCCAGAGAAAUUUGGAUUAAUACCCCGUAAUAUAGUUGAAUGGCAUCAUUUGAUUAUUAUAGCUACGGCGCUUAAUGAUGGGUGUGCGGCUGAUUAGAUAGUUGGCGGGGUAACGGCCCACCAAGUCUACGAUCAGUAGCUGAUGUGAGAGCAUGGUCAGCCACCCGGGAACUGAGACGCGGGCCCGACUCCUACGGGGGGCAGCAGUAAGGAAGAUAUGUCAUGGACGCAAGUCUGAACCAGCCAUGCCGCGUGAAGGAUUAAGGUCCUCUGGAUUGUAAACUUCUUUUAUUUGGGACGAAAAAGGGCCUUUCUAGGUCAACUGACGGUACCAGAUGAAUAAGCACCGGCUAACUCCGUGCCAGCCGCCGCCGUAACAC
rnacentral:rRNA from 1 species